UCUCGAUUGGUCUAGUGGCUAGGAUACCUGCUUGUCAUUCAACUUGCCUAAGUGUUCAUGAUAAAAGUUUCACUUUGGGUAUCGUGGAGCGAGUCGCAGGUGGCCGGGGUUCGAUUCCCCGAUCGAGAG